rnacentral:ncRNA from 2 species
AAAAAAUCAAUGGCAUGGGGCGCCAGGGAAGGCGGUGAGAUUCCGCCACGGUCGCGCCACUGUAAUGGAGUUAUUAACAGAACCGAAAUAAUAAAAACGGUCCGAGAGGACCCACAGCCGGUUCUGUAAUACUAACAGCUCUCCCACUGUCUAUUCAAUUGUGAGACUGUUAGUAAGUUUAUCCCCAAUUGAGUCACUGCUUUAAUGUCAAAGCGGGAAGGCAAGGGGAUAAGCAGGAAACCCCGCUCCAGAGUCAGGAAACCUCCCCCAUGAUUUCUUGGUUU